rnacentral:rRNA from 1 species
UACGUAGGGUGCGAGCGUUGCCCCGGAUUUAUUGGGCGUAAAGGGCGCGUAGGCGGCUCUGCACGUCCGUUGUGAAAUCGCCCGGCUCAACUGGGCGGGGUCAGCGGAUACGGCAGAGCUCGAGCAAGCUAGGGGGCAAUGGAAUUCCCGGUGUAGUGGUGGAAUGCGUAGAUAUCGGGAGGAACACCAGUGGCGAAGGCGGCGACCUGGGUAGAUACUGACGCUGAGGUGCGAAAGCGUGGGGAGCAAACAGG